CUUCGGACACGUGCGCUGUGUGUUUACAAGUGCGCGGGCCGGUCACCGCGAGCUGCCAGCCAAUCAGCGCGCGCGCUGUCCAAAAGGCUUUACGCAAUAGGUCGGUCGUGGCGUGGGGGCGGAAACCCGGCGGCAGCGCUCACGCGGACCUGUGGCUCGGUACAACAAGCGUGUGUAACACCGACGUGGAGAUGAGAGACAGUAGGAACUUGUCAUCUUCGCUGAGAAACAGUUCCUGUCUGCAUGCAGCGCUUUGUUUUUACCGGUGUACGAAAGAUGUUCAUAGAGAGAGUAUGCAGUAGGACUGUCAUGCCUUUUUUUUUUUAAGGUCCACCUUAUUUCGCCAAAACAGCUCUGACCCUUUGAGGUAUGGACUCCACAAGACCUCUGAGGGUGUACUGUGGUAUCUGGCACCAAGAUGUUAGCAGCAGAUCCUUUAAAUC
ensembl:lncRNA